UGAAUACGAGACGCUAAGGCGUCGAAGUAGUGUAUGUCAUACUUCCAAGAAAAGCUUGCACUGUCAUAGAUAAAAAACGCCUGUACCAUAACCGACACAGGUGGGUAGGUAGAGUAUACUAAGGGGCGCGAGAUAACUCUCUCUAAGGAACUCGGCAAAAUAACUCCGUAACUUCGGGAGAAGGAGUGCCUUAUUCGUAAGGUUGCAAUAACAAGAUCCAAGCAACUGUUUAUCAAAAACACAGGUCUCCGCUAAGUCGUAAGACGAUGUAUGGGGGCUGACGCCUGCCCAGUGCCAGAAGGUUAAAGAAGUUGGUUAGCAAUUGCGAAGCUGAUAACUGAAGCCCUGGUGAACGGCGGCCGUAACGAUAACGGUCCUAAGGUAGCGAAAUUCCUUGUCGGGUAAGUUCCGACCCGCACGAAAGGCGUAAUGAUUUGGAUACUGUCUCGGAGAGGGGCUCGGUGAAAUAGACUUGUCUGUGAAGAUGCGGACUACCUGCACCAGGACAGAAAGACCCUAUGAAGCUUUACUGUAACUUGAAAUUGAAAUUGGACUUUAUUCGCGCAGUAUAGGUGGGAGGCGUUGAUUAUAAUCUUGUGGGAUCAUUGGAGCCAUCAGUGAGAUACCACUCUUGUAAUGUUAGAUUUCUAACUUUGAAUCAUUAUCUGGUCAAAGAACAGUUUCAGGCGGGCAGUUUGACUGGGGCGGUCGCCUCCUAAACGGUAACGGAGGCGUACAAAGGUUUCCUCUGAACGGUUAGAAAUCGUAUCUAGAGUGUAAAGGCAUAAGGAAGCUUGACUGUGAGACCUACAAGUCGAGCAGGGACGAAAGUCGGUCUUAGUGAUCUGACGGUACUGAGUGGAAAGGCCGUCACUCAACGGAUAAAAGUUACUCUAGGAUAACAGGCUGAUCUCCCCCAAGAGUUCACAUCGACGGGGAGGUUUGGCACCUCGAUGUCGGCUCAUCGCAUCCUGGGGCGGUAGUACGUCCCAAGGGUUGGGCUGUUCGCCCAUGAAAGCGGUACGCGAGCUGGGUUCAGAACGUCGUGAGACAGUUCGGUCCAUAUCCGGUGUAGGCGUUAGAAUAUUGAGAGGAGCCUUCUUUAGUACGAGAGGACCGAGAAGGACAUACCUCUGGUGUACCAGUUAUCGUGCCAACGGUAAACGCUGGGUAGCUAUGUAUGGAGUGGAUAACCGCUGAAAGCAUCUAAGUGGGAAGCCCACCUCAAGAUAAGUAUUCUCAUCAU
rnacentral:rRNA from 1 species